rnacentral:snoRNA from 1 species
UGGUGACAGAGCGAGACUCUGUCUCAAAAAAUAAAAUAAAUCCUCUUUUGUAACCCAGAACUCAUUGUUCAGUGUGAGUUUUGAUACAUAUAGGAAGGGAUAUU